rnacentral:lncRNA from 14 species
CGUGGUGCCGGCAAUGGCGGCCUCCAGGAGCACGAGGUUGCAGGAUGGAUGCGGUUCGUGAUGGAGAAGCCGGCAGCAGGAGCAGUGCAGUGUGACACUUGAAAGAACAUCUCCCAAUGGCAAAGAUAAGAGCCCACGUCCUGCAUCCUGUGACUGUGCAUUCUCAGCCACAAGAGUCACUGCAGCUCCUUUCCGGAGGGAGGCGAUUUGGACACCACCAUCCGACUGAUGUGGCUGAUCCAGCUUUACCCGAGGGAAGCGAAUGAGGUCACAAGACUGGGAAAGGACUUGUUUGCUGUCAGGAGGAUGGUGAACUUGACACGUCAAAUAGAGCUGAGUGCUGCUGUGGGAAGAGAAAGGAAAGGCAAGGUUGUGGUUGUGCCCAUUGAGUCCUGCUGAAGACAACCGACUCCUGUUGGUGCUCUGUGAAAUCAGUCUGGUGGCAGCUCCAAUAGCAGGUCAGUGCUUAGGAAAUAGAAAGAGAAUCUAGGUUCAAGUGAUGGAAAUGCAGCUAUAGUUAAAUUCUGAA